ensembl:lncRNA
GCUGACCUUCCCCAGGGUUCAGGGAAGGCUACACAAAAGAAGCAGUGUUCAAACCAGGUCUCAAAAGAUGAGGAAUUAUUUGUCAAGUCAGGCAAUGGGACUGAAGUUCAAAGGGCCAGAGAUUUGAAAGAGUUCAAUGCUUUCAGGCCAAGUGCAAUAUUCAAACCACAAGCCCUGGCCACCUUACAGACCAGCUCAUUCGUUCCAUGUUUAAUGGAUGAAGUUACCAAGAUUCAGGCAAGGAGGGGAACUCAUGAAAUUCAUACCCAAGUUAGAAGUGUCCACAAUGGAACUGAAGUCUCCAGACCACAGGAGAAAAAGGCCUGCCACGACUGUCUGGAGAAGGUCAUAUCAUCUGGCUCGACAGUAAGGCUGCACGCAUGGAAGUUAGACCUUGAACUCAAAAAGACUUGCUUGCAUUCAAGACCUACAUCUACCCCAGCUCGGACCUUGUCUUCAGCUGGACUGGAGCACCACGAACUCCAGGGGUAAAGGGAAGCGUCUAGAGCCCAAUUCCUUCACCACUUUAGUUCCUCUGAAAGACCUUGGCUGAGUGAGAUGCUUGAGGCUGGAGCCAAGCCUUCGUCGCUCUCACCAUCCCAAACCCCUCACGGCAGAGAACCAGCAUCUCUGGAGCCUGAGCUGCUGCCCCUGGAGCCCACCCCCCUCAACCUGUUCAUGAACCCACCUGUGUCACCUGGACUCUGGCUACUCUCAGACCCUGAGAUUAGAGUCAGUAGAAGGUGGGAGAGAAAUUUAAGAGACUUGGCGUUCCCUCUCCCUCGCUUUCUCCUUCCCCCUCUCUCUCUCUCUCAAGGCAGCCCCCCGUGGUGUUUGUUCUCACAGAGGCCCAAGGAAGAAGGAUGGUCACUUGCCUUUCUCCCAGAGAUAAUUGAAGAGAAGUAAGAAAGUACCUAUGUUUGAAGGCAAAAUGACGACAAUUAAUCUCUAAACACAGGGCCUUGCCAUUAAAUUCUUUGGAGAAACAAGUUUAGGAGUUUAAGGACAGUCGAGAGAAUGAAAUUGAAUUAAGAGAAAUAGUAAUUAAAUCAGGAAAGAAGUUUUUGCAAAGGGGAUGGUGAAGGAAAUUAAAACCAGUAAUGCUGAAAAAUGUGGUGGGCAGAGAUGGGGCUGGGGUGGGUAUGCUUUGUGGAGGACAGGAAAAGAGCAGAGCAAAGCGAGUUGGGAGGUGCAGAGUAUUUGGCACUCAGGAAAGGCUUUGGAAACUGGUUUCCUUGAGAGACCAGGUGUCUGGCUCAAGUUGGGUCUAAAUAGGCCACCUCCUAAUGGGGACAAGCUCUCCCUCAGGAAAAUAGAAGUAUCAGUCGGAUAAAGUAUAAAAGAGCCAUGAAGUAGGGUGACCAGGUGUCCUGGUUUUGCCCGGGACCACCCCAGUUUCACUACUCAGAGUGCCAUGUUCCAGGAAGCCCUCAGUCGAGAGCGAACUGAGACUGUUGGUCACACGAACACGGAGGCAGAGUGCCCUGGCUCCCCGCUCCACCAUGCAGUCAGGAGCUCCGUGAUGCUGGGCGAGUCACUCCAUUUCUGUGGGCCUCAGCUUUCUUACCUACAAAAAGAGCUGUCCUGGGUACCCCAAAAGAUUAAAGAAGUUGCUAUAUGUCGAUGUCUAGAACAAUGUGCAUGAAGUGAAGCAUGAUGAAUGGGAGUUGAAGUGAACAAGGUGAAUAAAGAAAACAUAAAAUAUUAGCAAGCACAACCCAACAACACGUUAAGAAGUGAUACAGGGGUUUCCCUGGUGGCUCAGUGGUAAAGAAUCCAUCUGCCAGUGCAGGAGACACGGGUUCAAUCCCUGGUCCAGGAAGGUUCCACAUGCCUCCGAGGUGUUAAGCCUACUGGCUCAGUUACUGAGCCACGUGCCAUACUACUGAAGCCCAUG